rnacentral:lncRNA from 1 species
ACCAUUGUUCUUAAAUAAAUAGAUGGCAAAGACUCGUGACUUAAUUUUUUCGUCAAAUUGGAUAAAAGUUUUUCUCUCUAUUGCUAGCUCAACCGACUCGGUUGCUAGCUCAACCGAGGUAAUAUGUCAUAAAUAAAAAAUAAAAAAUAAAAUAAAAUACUUUUCCCCUUGGUUGCAGCUCAACUGAGGUAAUAGGUCAUAAGAAAAAAUAAAAAAAUAAAAAAAAUGCUAAAAUGUAGUUGUUGGGAUUCGAAGGUGUGUCCCCUGAAUACUUUCCCCUCAGUUUCC